UCAUAUGCAGUUAACUUCUCUCCCAGUGCCUGCAGGGGAAGCUAACACCACCUCCAGUUUACAUCUCACCUGCUCAGCCACCCCCGCGGGAAGAGCAUGUCUCAUCCUGGAUUCACACACAGCAAGUGGCUGCAGAGGGGGAAAUGAGCAGCACCCAGAAAUAAAGAUGAAUGCCAAGUUUGUUCAACAUUUAUUGAGAACCUGACUCCAUGUCUGCUGCUAUGCUGAAAUAUGAGGAUACAUGUGUGUGUUUCUUCUAGUUUUUCAAGGCUGAGGCACACUGAGGGAGUAAAGAGAUCAUAAAUGAAGCUCUCACCAGCAUUUGCAUUCAGGUUAUUGUGUAAAUGCCGAGUUUUCAUUCCUCUUGGGUGGAUGUGUAGGAGUGACGUAUCUGAGUCUCAGGAUCAUUUAUGUUUAACUUUGUAAGAAACUUACCAGCUGCUUUCUGAAGUGAUUGUCAUUGUUCAUUCUUAACAGCAGUGUUGGGAAAUAAUAGUUGCUCCGCAUCUCUGUCACUACUUGGUAAUGUUGACAACUAGUUUUUGAAAUGUAUGUAAGCCUGUUUCUGUGUGUGU